rnacentral:rRNA from 1 species
AACGAACGCUGGCGGCAGGCCUAACACAUGCAAGUCGAACGUGAAGCCACCUUCGGGUGGUGGAAAGUGGUAGACGGGUGAGUAACGCGUGGGAACGUGCCUUUCGGUUCGGGAUAACCCAGGGAAACUUGGGCUAAUACCGGAUACGCCCUUCGGGGGAAAGAUUCAUUGCCGAAAGAUCGGCCCGCGUCGGAUUAGCUAGUUGGUGGGGUAAUGGCCUACCAAGGCGACGAUCCGUAGCUGGUCUGAGAGGAUGAUCAGCCACACUGGGACUGAGACACGGCCCAGCCUCCUACGGGAGGCAGCAGUGGGGAAUAUUGCACAAUGGGCGAAAGCCUGAUGCAGCCAUGCCGCGUGGGUGAAGAAGGCCUUAGGGUUGUAAACCCCUUUCAGCGGGGAAGAUAAUGACGGUACCCGCAGAAGAAGUCCCGGCUAACUCCGUGCCAGCCGCCGCAGUAACAC